UUGUGCCAGCCGCCGCGUAAUUCCAGCUCCAAUAGCGUAUAUUAAAGUUGUUGUGGUUAAAAAGCUCGUAGUUGAACCUUGGGCCUGGCUGGCCGGUCCGCCUCACCGCGUGCACUGGUCCGGCCGGGCCUUUCCCUCUGUGGAACCCCAUACCCUUCACUGGGCGUGGCGGGGAAACAGGACAUUUACUUUGAAAAAAUUAGAGUGCUCCAGGCAGGCCUAUGCUCGAAUACAUUAGCAUGGAAUAAUAAAAUAGGACGCGCGGUUCUAUUUUGUUGGUUUAUAGGACCGCCGUAAUGAUUAAUAGGGACAGUCGGGGGCAUCAGUAUUCAACUGUCAGAGGUGAAAUUCUUGGAUCAGUUGAAGACUAACUACUGCGAAAGCAUUUGCCAAGGAUGUUUUCAUUAAUCAGGAACGAAAGUUAGGGGAUCGAAGACGAUCAGAUACCGUCGUAGUCUUAACCAUAAACUAUGCCGACUAGGGAUCGGACGGUGUUAUUCAUGACCCGUUCGGCACCUUACGAGAAAUCAAAGUGCUUGGGCUCCAGGGGGAGUAUGGUCGCAAGGCUGAAACUUAAAGAAAUUGACGGAAGGGCACCACCAGGGGUGGAGCCUGCGGCUUAAUUUGACUCAACACGGGGAAACUCACCAGGUCCAGACACAAUAAGGAUUGACAGAUUGAGAGCUCUUUCUGAUUUGUGGUGGUGUGCAUGGCCGUUCUUAGUGUGGGUGACUGUCUGCUUAAUUGCGAUACGAACGAGACCUUAACCUGCUAAAUAGCCCGCAUUGCUCCGGCAGUGCGCUGGC
rnacentral:rRNA from 1 species